rnacentral:rRNA from 1 species
CCUACGGGGGGCUGCAGUGGGGGAUAUUGCACAAUGGGGGAAACCCUGAUGCAGCGACGCCGCGUGGGUGAAGAAGCGCCUCGGCGCGUAAAGCCCUGUCAGCAGGGAAGAAAAUGACGGUACCUGAAGAAGAAGCCCCGGCUAACUACGUGCCAGCAGCCGCGGUAAUACGUAGGGGGCAAGCGUUAUCCGGAUUUACUGGGUGUAAAGGGGGCGCAGACGGGGAUGCAAGCCAGGAGUGAAAGCCCGGGGCCCAACCCCGGGACUGCUGUUGAAACUGCGUGGCUAGAGUGCAGGAGGGGCAGGCGGAAUUCCUGGUGUAGCGGUGAAAUGCGUAGAUAUCAGGAAGAACACCGAUGGCGAAGGCGGCCUGCUGGACUGCAACUGACGUUGAGGCCCGAAAGCGUGGGGAGCAAACAGGAUUAGAUACCCCUGUAGUC